CAGUGAAGAGUCUCACUGUUCUGAUUUUGUAAUAAUCAGGGCAGGCUAAACAUUCGCUAUAUGAAGACCAUGCAUAUGUCCAAAGAUCUAAUACUUCUCUAGGUCUAGUUUUAUAAAUACUGAUGAUAAAC